CUGGCAGUAGCUCAGUGGUAGAGCUCUUGCUUCAUAUGCUGGAAGACUUGGCUUCGAUUCCCGGCUGCUUCG
rfam:Toxocara canis scaffold499, whole genome shotgun sequence.